AGUACGGCCGCAAGGUUAAAACUCAAAUGAAUUGACGGGGGCCCGCACAAGCGGUGGAGCAUGUGGUUUAAUUCGAUGCAACGCGAAGAACCUUACCUACUCUUGACAUCCAGCGAAUCCUUUAGAGAUAGAGGAGUGCCUUCGGGAACGCUGAGACAGGUGCUGCAUGGCUGUCGUCAGCUCGUGUUGUGAAAUGUUGGGUUAAGUCCCGCAACGAGCGCAACCCUUAUCCUUUGUUGCCAGCGCGUAAUGGCGGGAACUCAAAGGAGACUGCCGGUGAUAAACCGGAGGAAGGUGGGGAUGACGUCAAGUCAUCAUGGCCCUUACGAGUAGGGCUACACACGUGCUACAAUGGCAGAUACAAAGAGAAGCGACCUCGCGAGAGCAAGCGGAACUCAUAAAGUCUGUCGUAGUCCGGAUUGGAGUCUGCAACUCGACUCCAUGAAGUCGGAAUCGCUAGUAAUCGUAGAUCAGAAUGCUACGGUGAAUACGUUCCCGGGCCUUGUACAC
rnacentral:rRNA from 1 species